GACGAACGCUGGCGGCGUGCCUAAUACAUGCAAGUAGAACGCACAGUUUAUACCGUAGCUUGCUACACCAUAGACUGUGAGUUGCGAACGGGUGAGUAACGCGUAGGUAACCUGCCUGGUAGCGGGGGAUAACUAUUGGAAACGAUAGCUAAUACCGCAUAAUAUUGAUUAUUGCAUGAUAAUUGAUUGAAAGAUGCUAUUGCAUCACUACCAGAUGGACCUGCGUUGUAUUAGCUAGUAGGUGAGGUAACGGCUCACCUAGGCGACGAUACAUAGCCGACCUGAGAGGGUGAUCGGCCACACUGGGACUGAGACACGGCCCAGACUCCUACGGGAGGCAGCAGUAGGGAAUCUUCGGCAAUGGACGAAAGUCUGACCGAGCAGCGCCGCGUGAGUGAAGAAGGUUUUCGGAUCGUAAAGCUCUGUUGUAAGAGAAGAACGGGUGUGAGAGUGGAAAGUUCACACUGUGACGGUAUCUUACCAGAAAGGGACGGCUAACUACGUG
rnacentral:rRNA from 1 species